UUAAGAAUGAUUCUUCGGAUGAGUUCUUUUGUGACUGAGCGGCGGACGGGUGAGUAACGCGUGGGUAACCUGCCUCAUACAGGGGGAUAACAGUUAGAAAUGACUGCUAAUACCGCAUAAGCGCACAGUGCCGCAUGGCACGGUGUGAAAAACUCCGGUGGUAUGGGAUGGACCCGCGUUGGAUUAGGCAGUUGGCGGGGUAACGGCCCACCAAACCGACGAUCCAUAGCCGGCCUGAGAGGGUGGACGGCCACAUUGGGACUGAGACACGGCCCAAACUCC
rnacentral:rRNA from 1 species